rnacentral:rRNA from 1 species
CCUACGGGAGGCAGCAGUGAGGAAUAUUGGUCAAUGGGCGCGAGCCUGAACCAGCCAAGUAGCGUGAAGGAUGACUGCCCUACGGGUUGUAAACUUCUUUUAUAAAGGAAUAAAGUGAGGCACGUGUGCCUUUUUGUAUGUACUUUAUGAAUAAGGAUCGGCUAACUCCGUGCCAGCAGCCGCGGUAAUACGGGGGAUGCAAGCGUUAUCCGGAUUUAUUGGGUUUAAAGGGUGCGUAGGCUGGGAGGUAAGUCAGCGGGGAAAUGCCCCCGCGCGACGGGGUGAAGUGCCAUUGAUACUGCCGUGCUGGAAUGCGCAUGACGUUGGAGGAAUGUGUGGGGUAGCGGUGAAAUGCAUAGAGAUCACACAGAACACCGAUUGCGAAGGCAGCACACGAAUCCGCGAUUGACGCUGAUGCACGAAAGCGGGGGUAUCAAACAGGAUUAGAUACCCUUGUAGUC